UCCAAUGGACCCUCUGGUGAAUAGGCAC
rnacentral:piRNA from 1 species